rnacentral:rRNA from 1 species
GAUGAACGCUAGCUACAGGCUUAACACAUGCAAGUCGAGGGCCCGGCGCAAGGGUGAGUAACGCGUAUCCAACCUGCCCAUAAGUAGGGUAUAACCCGCAGAAAUGCGGACUAAUCACCUAUGCUUAUGGAUGGGGAUGCGUCCGAUUAGCUUGUUGGGGAGGUAACGGCUCAGCAAGGCUUCGAUCGGUAGGGGUUCUGAGAGGCAGGCACCCCACAUAGGAACUGCGACACGGUCCCAACGCCUACGGGAGGCAGGAGUGAGGAAUAUAGGGGAAUGGGCGCGAGUCUGAACCAGCCAAGUGGCGUGCAGGAGGACGGCCUAUGGGUUGUAAACUGCUGUUAGGCGGGGAUAGGUACCGAAUGAAUAAGGACCGGCUAAUUCCGUGCCAGCAGCCGCGGUAAUUC